rnacentral:lncRNA from 1 species
UUUUUGCCAUGAGUAUCAUGUGUUACUCAGUGGAGUCUCCAGGUGUUGGUUUAAAACUCUGAGCUGUCCUGUUUCUUAAUGGAGAUGCUGGACGUGUCCCGCAGGUUCGCUCAUACAGGGACACAGUCUGGAAGUCCUGCUCCCUGAUGGAGUCCGUGAGAUCAGGGUGAUCUCUCUCAGGAGUGUCCCACCUCUGUCCUGACCAGGCACAGCUGGGAUUCUGGAUCAGCCAGGCGCUGCUGUGUGGGCGGUCGUCUCUGGAGGAGCCAAGCUCAGAGCAGUCGGACUCGGGGACGCAGUCACCCUGCCCUGUGACCUCAAACUCCGACAAGACUCUACUUGGUUGGUACAGAGAUAUGAGACCCUGUCUGUGGGAGUAAUGGCUUAUAAAAACCCUAUACAGCAGCAGAAUGACCCCUCUGACCGCAAGAAGAGAUUGGACUCGUGCUUCAAACUGGUGCUGCAGGCUGUCUGAUCUUCCUACUUGUGUUUUACAGGAAAUGAAGAGCCUACCCCCGACUUGAACCCCGAGCCCUGCCCAGCCUGACAGGAGAUCGCAGCACGAGUGAGUCUGAUCUUCACCCUGUUCUCUGCUCUCCUUCUGCAUGUGUCUCCACUGGCUCAGUCACAGAGCAGGAGAGAGAGGUGAGUGAGACGCACCUGUCCUGUAUUUAUACAGUCUAGAGACGCACGGUGAAGGGACACAACUGACCUGUCUGUAUUUAUACAGUCUAGAGACGCGUGGUCCAGAGUCACACCUGUCCUGUAUUUAUUUAUAUAGUCUAGAGGCACAUGGUCCAGAGACGCACCUGUCCUGUAUGUAUACAGUCUAGAGACGCACCUGUCCUGUAUGUAUACAGUCUAGAGACGCACCUGUCCUGUAUGUAUACAGUCUAGAGACGCACCUGUCCUGUAUUUCAAAGAAGAAGGUUGUGAGUUUGGAUGUGGAAGUGAUGACUGUCUGAUACCCUUGAGCUCUGGGGCACAGUGGAAGCAGGUCUUGUCACCGACAGUGUUAAUGACGUCUGUCUUGUUUCAGUUUAAAUGAAAGAUUUUUGUCAAAAAUGCAGUUAGACAGGCCCGAGAACUACUUCAGUGUCCGGUUUAUUCUGGACGUAGAUUUGAGCUUCGACAGUAUAGAAAUGACGAUUUUGACCAUAUGAUGUUAAUCCUAAUAUCUGACCAAGUAUGAAUAUGUAAAUAAAGCUUUUUGUUAUUGUCGUUCAUCUCCGAUCCUCCUCACAAGCCCACGAGAUUCCCUGGAAAACAGAUGGAAGUUCGGACCAGAUCAGCGGAAGUCUGCAGGAGUUGCCUAAUGAAGGGACUGCUUUGUACCAAAACAACUGAAAACCUGACAGAAUUAACAAGGACUCCUUUUCUGGAUAUUCUCUGUACUUGUUAACCACUAAACCAGACCGUCUCUCCAGUCUGUUUCCUGAAUAUUUUUUGUUGCAUAGUGAGUUUACUGCUUAGUCAUUGCACUGUUUAGUCACAGCCCAGUCUUUGUCCCGAAUUUUUACUUUUAUUCACUGUACUGGUUAGUCACUGGGAUUGGUAGUCACAGUACUAAGUAAUCCCUAACAGGUAUUCACUGUAGUGGCCUGUCAGUGUGAUUGGUGUUUGUUGUAAUAGAUAAUUACUUAAUCACUAUACUUUGUAUUCACUGUGGUUGGUACUGAGUAUUCAGUGUAACAGAUAAGCAGUGUGAUGAUUAUUCUCUGUGACUGAUAGGCCCUGUACUGGGUGUUCACUGUCACAGAUAACUUUGUGUUGGAAAUUCACAGUAAUGGUUUACAAGAUAUUCCCUGAAAUGGUAAGUCAUACGCUUGUUCGUGUCUUUGCUUAUUUAUUAUUUUAUUAAAUGUUGGACACUAAACCAGUCACUGUCUUGUAGGAAUAAUUGUCUCUUCACUCUGCUGGGUGUUCACAGAAAUGGCUGCACACAAAAACGGUCCCUCUGUUUUGUGAAUGAUUAUUGUACUACAUAGUCACUGUUCUGGGUAUUCACUGGGAUGACGAGGGGAGUGAGGGUAGUGUCACUGGGAUUGGUAGUCACUAUACUAAGUAAUCACUGUAAUACAUAAUGAUUAAUUCACUAUACCUUGUAUUCACUGUGGUUUGUACUGAGUGUUCACUGUAAUAAAUGUCUGCACACAAAUAGUCAGUCUAUUUCAUUAAUAAUUGUAUUAUAGUCACUGUGCUGGGUAUUCACUGGAUUGGUGAGUCACUAAACCAGU